AUUCGUCGGAAUCUGCCUUUUUGUGGGGGAUAACGUAGGGAAACUUACGCUAAUACCGCAUACGACCUACGGGUGAAAGUGGGGGACCUUCGGGCCUCACGCAGAAAGAUGAGCCGACGAUCGAUUAGCUAGUUGGUGGGGUAAAGGCCCACCAAGGCGACGAUCGGUAGCUGGUCUGAGAGGAUGAUCAGCCACACUGGGACUGAGACACGGCCCAGACUCCUACGGGAGGCAGCAGUGGGGAAUAUUGGACAAUGGGGGCAACCCUGAUCCAGCCAUGCCGCGUGUGUGAAGAAGGCCUUCGGGUUGUAAAGCACUUUUGUCCGGAAAGAAAUCUUCCAGUUUAAUACGCUGGGAGGAUGACGGUACCGGAAGAAUAAGCACCGGCUAACUUCGUGCCAGCAGCCGCGGUAAUACGAAGGGUGCAAGCGUUACUCGGAAUUACUGGGCGUAAAGCGUGCGUAGGCGGUUUGUUAAGUCUGACGUGAAAUCCCCGGGCUCAACCUGGGACGUGCGUUGGAAACUGGCGAUCUAGAGUACGGUAGAGGGUGGUG
rnacentral:rRNA from 1 species